UGGCUCCUCCUCCUCCUGUAUUGUUUUGGAUGGGGAGAAGCUGCCCUGGGAGACUCCUCUCUCAGCUUGUGGGGCUCUAGCUCCACCUUCCAGAAAUCUGCCUGCUCAGUGCCAGGAGCAGCCAACUACAGAAGGGAAGAGGAUGCAAGUAUGCUUUGGUCAGUCACGUCCCAAACCACGGGAGCCUUGAGGAACAGACUGAGGUGGCAAUGCUGCAACAUCAGUUUUCUGAGGAAGGGGUACCUGCCACUUGAUGUCUAGAUGGAGAGCAAUAAAAACUGGCACCAAACAAGACAUUCCACUUUCACUGGAUGCCUGUCCUACACUGGCCUUCUUACACCUGCACAGUAGGCCAAGCCUGAAAUAAAAACCUGUGCAGGACAGAAGGCUGCCCAUGGAAGGUUUUCUAGCAGAGUGAGAAUGCUGCAUCUCCUGGUGCCAUUGCUACCACUGUAAUUACAGCGUGUUGGAGCAGCCUCACAUCACAUGUAUAGCCUACACAAACCCAAGUGGAUUGCUUGAAGGAAGAGGGAAAAGAAUGACCUUUUAAUUUAAAUUUUCUCCUUGAGGGAUCUGACUGCAGCUAAAUGUGUUCAGCAUUAGCCUCUAUUUUUCACUUUUAACCAGAGGGAGUGAGAGAAUAACAGCACAGUCACCCGUUUCUAAUUCUACUCAUGAACUCUCAGACUAACGAAGAUGAUGGAAAAGGAACACACACAAGAAAAUUUGAGUCACAGAAUAUGAGAUUUGUUCUUCAACCCAAGAAUUCCUUUGGGAAAAGAUGGAGAAAACAGUUGGCCUUCAGGAUGUCGCUGAAGCACUUUCUCUGCCUUCUACUUGAGCAUAUGCCUUGGCUAAACUGAGAGAAUAAAACUUGCUUCAGGAGUCUGGAGUUGGACAUCUGGAUGACAGCUAGCCCAACAAAGUUGAUGUCAGAUGAUCAUCGCCUCAGCAUUCAUGGUGUUUGCUUGCAGGAGGAUGCUAGAGGAUGCAGGAGGUGGAUCUGCCUUCCCCCUGGAUUCAAAGGAUCUUCCGCAGGCAGUGUUGAUGGUAAUUCUCCAACAAGUUUAGAUGUCUCCUGUACAUUGUCCAUGUCUCAGCUCUGUACAGGAAGGUGGGGAUCACAACUGCUUUAUAAACCAUGAGCUUGGUUUUAGAGCUGAAAUCACAAUCUUUGAACACCAGUUUCUUAAAGUGUUCAAAUGCUGUACUUGCACCUUUGAGCCAAAGCUGGAUUUCUUCAUCAAUGUCAGCCUUCUUCAAGAGAUGGCUUCUCUGCUUCACAGUGAGAAGGCCACCUGCUGUGGGGUGCUACUCUGAGGUGGCUGCAUGUCUACUUGCUCCAGAUUCCAAUGUAAUUUGUGUAGGCAGACAAAAACAACAUAACACAGACUGGUGUUAAUGGGCUGUGUAUCCAGCCCCACCUACCUCUUGUUAUUCUGUUAACAGCUGAAGUAUUUUCUCUUAUGUCUCUGAGGGGAGAAAGGAGGGAAGUGGUUCUCCAGCUUUUUAGCCCCAAGGCACCCUGUGAUAGGACUGGGUCACAGGGACAGCAAAGAUGCCCCCUUGUGGCUGUGCGGCUCCUGCCUGGCUCAGUCUCUAAGGUAGGCCUCCCUUGACUACUCACUUGGCAUGCCUUGUUCUUAUCAAAGAUUAAGUAAGGGAGGCUGCCCAUGAGCCUUAGAGCAAGCCUGAGUCCAAGCUAAAAUACUGAAUGGAUGGUAAGCCUCAGUCAACUCCAAGCCAAAGCUACCCCAACCUCAAUCACUGAGCUCCAGUUUGCUGAUGAUCAGGGAUCCGGGUUUUCCAUUUCCCAUGGGGAAAUAGGGAAAAAAAUGCAGAUUUCCCCUUUUAACAGAGAAAAAUUAAGAUUUCCCCUUUUAACAGAGAAAAAUGCAGAUUUUUCAUUUUAAUGGAGAAACACGUGGGUUUUCCACUUUUGCAAAGAGCUCUCUGCAGCCUGGCAGAGUUCAAGCCUGCAAAGGGUGGGGGGAGCAAGAAAAGGGUGGUCAGGCAGGGGGCACCAUGUGCAGGUGUGAACUGAUAUAUGCUCAUGGCCACAAGGAAACCUGGGAAGCAGC